CGCACUUCUCUCCCUCUCGCUCGAGCCGCCGUCGCCUGCCAUCCUCCCCGUCCGCCGCCGCCGCCCCCAUCCUUCCCGUCCGCCGCGGCGCCACCAUCCUCCGCGUCCGCCACCGCCAUCCUCCCCGUCCGCCACCGCCGCCCCCAUCCUCCCUGUCCGCCGCCGCCAUGCCAUCGCCGCCACCUACCGGACGGCGCUGUGAAGGAAGCGACCAGAGAGGGAGGCGUUGCCGGUGUCGUGGACCCAUGCCGGCGCAACGGCGUGUGCGCGUGCCUCCGCGGGUUCGCGCAGCGGUCGCCGGAGGCGUCGCGGGUCAACUGCGUCGGGGAGGAUGGGCGCGCGCCACGCCGCUCUUCCCCGACACAACAUCCGCCGUUCUUCCUUGGUCGGGUGGUGGUCAAGUGCUUCUUCAAGUUGGGCCGCACGCUGGGACAGGAGCCCCAGGCCGCAUGCUUCUUCUUGCGCUCCAUCGGGAGAGACCUCGAGGAUGCCAAGAUCUGCAAUGGCCUGAAGAACGAGGCAAUUCUUGGAAGCAACACAUACAUGUGGUCUCUCUUUCACUAUGAUUCCAAGGUUGUUUCUCUCCAUAUUCCAUUCGUCCGGUCAUCUCCUUGUUGUCUAUUGUGUGUCUUUUCCUGAUUCGUUUGUCGUCUCGCAGCUGGACUUUGGCAGCCGCUGCUCCUCGGCAAUCAACAGGAGGUACAGCCGCUGCCACCACUCCUUCGCAACGACGCAGGCCAGCGACGAGGAGGCUCGCAAUGGUGGGGGACACAUCACCAUCUGCCGGAGAGGAGAAAGGCAUACCUACCCCUUAACGAUUGAAAUGCAGGUCCAGGGAAAACAUAUCUGUACUACUAUUGGGCCAAUUGAUGCUAGGUGUACAUUGAGAUAUUUAAAAAAAAAAUAGAUCCUUGAUGCCAGACAUAGUGCAAUGGUGAGAUCCACUUAUUUAUGAUGGCGAGGGUGAUUGUUAGGCUGGCAUGUGGAGCUGUACUAAUAAGCUAUGAGAAGGUCCUCACAUCACAACACCCGAGCAAGUCUGGCAAGGCUUGCUCGCCAUGGCCUACCACAUCAGCGGGACGGAUCGAGCACGUGAUCACCAUCCGCAGGUCUUUCGUCACAACACCUGAGCGAGCGAGAUGUUCAGACAAAGUUAUAUGAUACACUGCUAUUGACAUAUGUCGUAGAUGGACAGUACAUAUCGUUUCUCUCCAUGUUACAAUUUCUGUGACCUCGGCAUUUGGAAGACAUGUCAUCUGAAUCGUCUAUCAUGACCGAACCAUUACUAUCACAAGCAUCUUACUUUUAGAAAUCCAUAUGAUGGUUCAGUUAUCUAUAUUAUGUGUGCCAUUUGUUACCUCUGAAAUAUAUAUUAUGUGUGCCCUGUCA